AUUCAGCUGAUGAGUCUCAAAUAGGACGAAACGCGCGUCCUGGAU
rnacentral:hammerhead_ribozyme from 1 species